AAUGAACGCUGACGGUGCCCCUUACACAUGCAAGUCGAACGAUUAAUUUCGGUUAAUAGUGGCGAACGGGUGAGUAAUAUAUAGGAAUAUGCCUUUUAGUGUGGGAUAAUCACGAGAAAUUGUGUUGUAAUACCUCAUACUCCGCUUUCGAGCGGGAAAGAAAUUUAUUUUGCUAAAAGAUUAGCCUAUACAGGAUUUGGUAGUUGGUGAGGUAAAGGCUCACCAAGCCUUAGUCUUUAGCUGGUCUGAGAGGAUGAUCAGCCACACUGGGACUGAGACACGGCCCAGACUCCUACGGGAGGCAGCAGUGAGGAAUAUUGGACAAUGGGGGAAACCCUGAUCCAGGGACACCGUGUGAGUGAUGAAGGUUUUGUACUGUAAAACUCUUUCAGUGGGGAAAAUAAUGAUGGUACCCACAAAAGAAGCACCGGCUAACUCUGUG
rnacentral:rRNA from 1 species